CAGUGUUACAACUCUUUUAGAAUUUGUCUAGCAGGUUUUCAGUUUUUACGGAAAGCCUCC
ensembl:snRNA U7 U7 small nuclear RNA